AUGUGUGAGCAAUGCUACAUUUUUAAAUAUAAGUUUAAUUUCUAAAUCAUAUUCAGUAAUUAUCCCACAGCGCCCCGUAUCCCCAUGGUGCCCUGUAGACCUACAACAUGUGUUUCCCAGCUUUUAUUGACUCCUGGUGUCAUGAUGUCACCAGGACCACGAUGACGUCAUCAGCAUCAUUAAUGACACAGUGCCCCAUAGACGCCCCACUCCCCGCCCCCGCAACCCCUAAGUACCCCAACACCAGUCGAUUUUUGUAUUCGUUUUCAUUCCUUUUUUUUUUUAAACUUACUUUCACUUUUAUUUGAGUUUUAUUCAUGAUUGCUCAGUUUUUGCUGACUUUUUUUUGCUGCGCCUUUUUGCUGCGCCUUUUUGCUGCGCCUUGGCUCACUCUUGGCUGAGGUUUGGCUGAGGUUUUGCUCACUUUUUGCUGAGUUUUUGCUGAGAUUUUGGCUGAGGUUUUUGCUGAGUUUUUGGCUGAGUUUUGUCUGAGUUCUUGGCUGAGUUUUUGGCUCACUUUUGGUUCACUUUUGACUGAGUUUUGGUUGAGUUUUUGGCUGAGUUUUGGCUGGUUUUUGGCUUUGGUUUUUGGCUGAGUUUUUGGCUGAGUUUUUGGCUGAGUUUUUGGCUGAGUUUUUGGCUGAGUUUUUGGCUGAGUUUUUGGCUGAGUUUUUGUCCUAGAUCUUGUCCGAGUUUUGGCUGAGAGGUUUUGGCUGAGAGGUUUUGGCUGAGAGGUGUUGGCUGAGAGGUGUUGGCUGAGAGGUGUUGGCUGAGAGGUGUUGGCUGAGAGGUGUUGGCUGAGAGGUGUUGGCUGAGAGGUGUUGGCUGAGUGUUGGCUGAGUGUUGGCUGAGGUUUUAGCAGAGUUUGGCUGAGUGUUGGCUGAGGUUUUAGCAGAGUUUGGCUGAGUGUUGGCUGAGGUUUUAGCAGAGUUUGGCUGAGUGUUGGCUGAGGUUUUAGCAGAGUUUGGCUGAGUGUUGGCUGAGGUUUUAGCAGAGUUUGGCUGAGUGUUGGCUGAGGUUUUAGCAGAGUUUUGGCUGAGAUUUGGAUGUGUUUUUUUCCGAGUCGUGGGGUCAUAUUUAGAGGAGAAUGGACAUAUGAUGAACCAGCCAUAUGAGAGCCUCUUCUAAGCACGUAGCCACGUACCAAGAAGAAGAUAAGAGGAAGAAAACAUCUGCAGUCGGAUACAUGGGAGGAACACCAGGAACUAGAUUAACCAUUGGUGACCCCGACGUGAUCGUCAGACGAUAGUACCGGGAGCAACUCCGAAGGAGAGGACGAGCUGGAGAGCCGAGCCAGCGGGACUGGAGUCGGAGCAGAUCAGAGGACGGUCCGUGAAAAAGAACGUACGUUGCAACGGGACACCCUUAGAGCGAUGAAGGCAGAGCGAUCAGCUGCUGCCGGAGCUUUUAUAGCUUUACAGCUCCCAUCGUCUGAGAUCAAAAUUUUCAAUUGGCUCCCUGUCCCUUCCCCCGCUGCCCUAUCGGCACCUCCGAUAGAGGACGAGGUGGAUUCCUGGAAAGACGAGGGGAUGGAAGUGGAUGAAUCCUGGCCUGUACCGCUGCCUCCCGACCCUUGCGUAGAAAAGCCACCCAGGGAGAGCCGCCACCCGUCCCACCCGACCCGUCUCGCCCCAAGAGGCAGCCAUCGCUUUUUCCACCUCUCCCUCUGUCCGUGCCUCCCCCGCCAACGUCUCCAUGAAAAUCAUCCACGCUCGAGCCCCACAGGGAACCGGACUGGGCACAGAAACUACUUCGAAAGUUGUAGGAUUUGGAAAGAGAUAAGAUCGCUCAAGAAGAACACGUGGGAGGAGGAGGGUGUGAUAGCACGCUUGGGAAGCUCCAGGGGGUGGGGGGAGGCAAGAGGCGAAGCUGCAGGAAGCUCCAGGGGGUGGGGGGAGGCGACAGGCGAAACUGCUAAAACUGACGGGGACCCAACACGGCGAUGGAGAGGGAUUAUUCAGAAUGCGUUAGUGGAAGGAGAAUUCCUUCCUGCGGCAUUCCUGGUAAUUUUGGGUGGAACGACACCGGGCGGGCUGCAGCGACCUAAUCAUUGGGAGGGCUUUCAUUGGGAAAUCAUGAAGGAGGCAUUACUAAUGUCGUUAGCUGUGCAAAAUGCUAAUGUUGCAUGCAAGCGCGUUCUAAUGGCUUUAUCAAAAAAUUCUAGUAUUGUGCAAAUGGUGGAGGCAUAACCUAAAAAAAAAAAACAAAAAACAAAACCCAACCAAAAGAACAUAAUAAUUGUCCUGGUAUAAGAUAAAUCGUUGUAGCUGGCAUGGUUUUGGGACCUUAUGACCUUCAUACAAAAUUUAUUGUAACCAAAACAGGACUGCAGGUAAGGAGUAUCUGAAACUAAGCAGAUGUUCAGGAGGUGAUGUAGUGAAGGUAACUGAUAACUAGAAGGACAAGGAGAAAUCACUCAUUUAUGUCAGCAGUGUUACCGAACUAAUUAAGCUGGUGUAAACAUUUAUCUACUGUGCAUGCUUCAAAGACUUCCAGAGCAAGAGUUCAAGGAAUGGCCAAGUGAUGAGGAUUGUUGGAAGAAGUAAAACGACCACCAAAGACCACUACCACAUUGUUACGCACAUGCGAAAAUAGGCAUGGAAUUAUGUGUGGGGUUGUAUUUGGAGGACAGCGGACAUGUGAUGAGCCAGCCGUAUGAGGGCCUCUUCUAAGCAUGCAGCUGCAUACCAAGAAGAAGAUAAGAGGAUGUGAACCAGCCAUCAGAGAGCUGCUUCUAAACACGUAGCUGCAUACCAAGAAGAAGAUAAGAGGAAGAAAACAUCUGCAGUCGGAUACAUGGGAAGAACAGCAGGAAUUAGGUGAUCCAAUAAGGACACUUACCAAGCCGCGUGAUUGCCUCGUGCAAGAGGGCUUUUACCAAUCAAAAGGUGCGUGACCGCAUGUAGAGGUAGAAAACUCUGUAUAUAAAGGGAUCGUGGGAACAAUAAAGUGGCUUCUGCUUGAUUCACAUUGAAUUGUGUAGGGUCCAUUGUCGUCUCUCCUCAAUUAUGUAAAACGAUUCUCGGACAACUAAUGAAUAUGUAUGACGUUUAUCAGAAAUGUAAUGAAUAUGUAUGUUAAGUAACAAUAUAAUCAUGGUCUGUUUGAUGCUUAAACGAGACACACAUUAGGAGCAGUUAUCCCCUGUGUCUCCUGGCGCCGCAAUAAAGAAUACCUGCUUGUCAACUUAAA